rnacentral:snRNA from 1 species
AUCGCUUCUCGGCCUUUUGGCUAAGAUCAAAGUGUAGUAUCUGUUCUUUUCUAGCUUAAUAUCUGAAAGUUCCCG